AUGCUCGCUGCCAGGGUUGGAGGUCAGGGCGAGCGUCUCGCGGGCCGAAGUAGGAAGAUGGCGGUGGAAUCGCGCGUUACCCAGGAGGAAAUUAAAAAGGAGCCGGAGAAACCAAUCAACCGCGAGAAGACUUGCUCGCUGCUGCUGCGGGUCUUCACCACCAAUAACGGCCGCCACCACCGAAUGGACGAGUUCUCCCGUGGAAACGUGCCUUCCAGCGAGCUGCAUAUCUACACUUGGAUGGAUGCAACCUUAAAAGAACUGACUAGUUUAGUGAAAGAAGUCUACCCAGAAGCUAGAAAGAAGGGCACACACUUCAAUUUUGCAAUUGUUUUUAUGGAUCUUAAAAGACCUGGCUAUCAAGUAAAGGAGAUUGGCAGCACCAUGUCUGGCAGAAAGGAGACCUAUGAUUCCAUGACCCUUCAGUCACAGAAGUUUCAAAUAGGCGAUUAUUUGGAUAUAGCAAUUACCCUUCCGAAUGGGGCACCACCUCCUUCAGGGCGGUCUUGUUAUGCAGCCUCUGAUGUCCUCAAACUCAUGAUCUUUGUGGCUCAGCCUCCCAAGUGCUGUGAUUACCGCAUGUACUACCAUGCCUGGCUAAAGAAACAAACUAGGAAUGAGCAGGGUAACUUAACGUUAAUGGGAAGAUAA